rnacentral:rRNA from 1 species
CACGUAGGGGGCAAGCGUUGUCCGGAUUUAUUGGGCGUAAAGAGCUCGUAGGCGGUUCGCUAAGUCGGGUGUGAAACCUCCAGGCUCAACCUGGAGACGCCACCUGAUACUGGUGUGACUCGAGUCCGGUAGGGGAGCGUGGAAUUCCUGGUGUAGCGGUGAAAUGCGCAGAUAUCAGGAGGAACACCAAUGGCGAAGGCAGCUCGCUGGGACGUGACUGACGCUGAGACGCGAAAGCGUGGGGAGCAAACAGG